GCGAACGCUGGCGGCAGGCUUAACACAUGCAAGUCGAGCGGGCACUUUCGGGUGUCAGCGGCGGACGGGUGAGUAACGCGUGGGAACGUGCCCUCUGGUUCGGAAUAACUCAGGGAAACUUGAGCUAAUACCGGAUACGCCCUUUUGGGGAAAGGCUUGCUGCCGGAGGAUCGGCCCGCGUCUGAUUAGCUAGUUGGUGAGGUAACGGCUCACCAAGGCGACGAUCAGUAGCUGGUCCGAGAGGAUGAUCAGCCACACUGGGACUGAGACACGGCCCAGACUCCUACGGGAGGCAGCAGUGGGGAAUAUUGGACAAUGGGCGCAAGCCUGAUCCAGCCAUGCCGCGUGAGUGAUGAAGGCCUUAGGGUUGUAAAGCUCUUUUAUCCGGGACGAUAAUGACGGUACCGGAGGAAUAAGCCCCGGCUAACUUCGUG
rnacentral:rRNA from 1 species